rnacentral:misc_RNA from 1 species
AAUUCUCAACCUUUCAAGCUUUCGUUUAAGAAGCUUUUGAAGGGCUUGGAUUUGGGAGUUUGCUGGGUCUAGUGAAUCAGCUCUCCUUAAAUAUAUUAGCAAGAUAAUCGCUGAAUCAUCUUUUGAUAUGAUAAUUAUCUAUAUCAUGGACGAAACAGUGCUUUCCCCUCCAGGGAAUGAUCUGGCUUCUAAUAGUCUCUCGAGACAAUCAUUGAAAC